rnacentral:misc_RNA from 1 species
GGAUCUUCAAGGAUUGGUCCUGGACAUCCACACUACAUAAAAACCUUUGAAUUAGGGAACAAGAUUGCAACUCUAUUAGAUUGUACGACAUGGUCCGGGGCUGGGCCAGGCUUAAUGGAUGCUGCCACACAAGGUGCUCUACAAGCAGGGAAGCCCGUUGGCGGGUUCAAGAUAGGUAAAGAAGCAGGGGAAUGGACAGCUACAAAUUUUCAUCCAUACUUACCAUCAGAGAGUUAUCUUACAUGCAGGUUUUUCUCCGCAAGGAAACACGGGCUGGUGGAUGCUGUUGUGAGAUGUAGAAGCUCUGAAAGGACAGC